rnacentral:rRNA from 1 species
UGAAGAGUUUGAUCAUGGCUCAGAUUGAACGCUGGCGGCAGGCCUAACACAUGCAAGUCGAACGGUAACAGGAAGCAGCUUGCUGCUUUGCUGACGAGUGGCGGACGGGUGAGUAAUGUCUGGGAAACUGCCUGAUGGAGGGGGAUAACUACUGGAAACGGUGGCUAAUACCGCAUAACGUCGCAAGACCAAAGAGGGGGACCUUCGGGCCUCUUGCCAUCAGAUGUGCCCAGAUGGGAUUAGCUUGUUGGUGAGGUAACGGCUCACCAAGGCGACGAUCCCUAGCUGGUCUGAGAGGAUGACCAGCCACACUGGAACUGAGACACGGUCCAGACUCCUACGGGAGGCAGCAGUGGGGAAUAUUGCACAAUGGGCGCAAGCCUGAUGCAGCCAUGCCGCGUGUAUGAAGAAGGCCUUCGGGUUGUAAAGUACUUUCAGCGGGGAGGAAGGUGUUGUGGUUAAUAACCGCAGCAAUUGACGUUACCCGCAGAAGAAGCACCGGCUAACUCCGUGCCAGCAGCCGCGGUAAUACGGAGGGUGCAAGCGUUAAUCGGAAUUACUGGGCGUAAAGCGCACGCAGGCGGUCUGUCAAGUCGGAUGUGAAAUCCCCGGGCUCAACCUGGGAACUGCAUUCGAAACUGGCAGGCUUGAGUCUUGUAGAGGGGGGUAGAAUUCCAGGUGUAGCGGUGAAAUGCGUAGAGAUCUGGAGGAAUACCGGUGGCGAAGGCGGCCCCCUGGAC